rnacentral:rRNA from 1 species
UACGGGGGGGGCAAGCGUUGUUCGGAAUUACUGGGCGUAAAGGGCUCGUAGGUGGCCAACUAAGUCACACGUGAAAUCCCACGGCUCAACCGUGGAACUGCCGGGCAUACUGGCGAUCUUGAGGCAUUCAGGGGCGAGCGGAACAAGUGGUGGAGCGGUGAAAUGCGUAGAUAUCACUUGGAACGCCAAUGGUGAAAACAGCUCGCUGGGAAUGAUCUGACACUGAGACGCGAAAGCCAGGGGAGCGAACGGG